GAUGAACGCUGGCGGCGUGCCUAACACAUGCAAGUCGAACGAAGCACUUUAGCUUGAUUCUUCGGAUGAAGGCUAUUGUGACUGAGUGGCGGACGGGUGAGUAACGCGUGGGUAACCUGCCUCAUACAGGGGGAUAACAGUUAGAAAUGACUGCUAAUACCGCAUAAGACCACGGAGUCGCAUGACUCAGUGGGAAAAACUCUGGUGGUAUGAGAUGGACCCGCGUCUGAUUAGGUAGUUGGUGGGGUAACGGCCUACCAAGCCGACGAACAGUAGCCGACCUGAGAGGGUGACCGGCCACAUUGGGACUGAGACACGGCCCAAACUCCUACGGGAGGCAGCAGUGGGGAAUAUUGCACAAUGGGGGAAACCCUGAUGCAGCGACGCCGCGUGAGCGAAGAAGUAUUUCGGUAUGUAAAGCUCUAUCAGCAGGGAAGAAAAUGACGGUACCUGACUAAGAAGCACCGGCUAAAUACGUGCCAGCAGCCGCAGUAA
rnacentral:rRNA from 1 species